AUGAGAACCAACAGUUGGGAAGGAAAAUCACUGUCGUCUGGCAGAAAUUUCAGAAUGUGUAUUGAAAUGCUAAAUAGCCUACAAACAUUUUGAAGAGACCAUGGUCAAUUCGCAAGUGUGCUUUGAUUGUACUACUAAAUAUUAUAUGUGCCUAGCACUUCUGUGUAAUUACGACUGUUCGAGUUUCAGAGGCCUUGUUCAAGGCGCGAAUGAAUUAUGGUCGCUGUCCGUUGGAAGACUGUGGAUGACAAGUAACAAAAUUACCACUCAGUUUGAGAAAGGCUUUAAGUGUGCUUUUCUUCUGAAGCAACCCGAAGGGAGGAUAUGUAAAGCUACAUAUUUAUUUAUUGAACUUGAAACUGUACUAGGUCUCUUGCCGUAGCGCCAAACCUUGUUUAGUGAGUAGGUCGAGUUGUUGUUCGCUGGCUAAAUAGUGUCCUUAUAGUUAUUUUAAAGCACCAAACUAAUUUAUAGUUUAGUGUUAUGCCAUCGCUGUCUUUUGAUUUAAUUAUGGUCUAGUUUGUUUUGUUUAAGUAGACAUAUAUUGGCUAUUUUAGCAUAGGGGCCUAUUAAACUCUAAAUUGUAGCUGGCUACAAUGUAGUCGACCUAUAAUAUUGCUAGCUAUGUUUACCUGGCUUAGAUAGUAGGCCUAUUCAUGUGGGUGCAAAAGCUUAACUCAAAAACACUUGAAUUAACAUUCCCGUUGAUUGAACUCUGAGCGGCACCACCCACCUUAGCUAAGGUCAAGUUUCAGGUAGGCAGUCUAGCUUAAUUGUGCUGCAGGACUUCGAGGGACACAGAAGUGACUGGACAACUCUCGCUCAAGACAUCGCUUGGACUUGGAUGGGUGUCUAGCAAACCUACAUGGACUGCAGCAGCAGAAGGCCAUGCCAGAUUUCACUACUGUCAACUGAGAACAGGAAGAUUUCAGCUGCAGUGGACACGUCGUCAGCUUUUCCAUGACGCACCAAUCUUUCGCCUCACACUACUAGCGAGUGUGCGAUGAAGGGUUCUGCGGGUGGUUUGUGACAUGAGUGGGUGUCCCAUUUCUUUCUUUUCUCCUUCCUCCUUCCCUCUUCUCAAAGGUCUGGUGGUGUUCCACAGUAUCAGUGGCUUGACCGCAGCUGUGGUAGAAUAUCAGACUGGCGGACAAGGCCGGAUUCAAUCUAGAGUUACCACUGGCCUCCCUGACGCGGAAACCGGGACAGUCCACGAGGGCACCCUGUGCUGGAGGAGUCCCGCCAUCCGGGUGCAGCACUGCUGCUGCGGGACGCCCAACACUGGAGACCAGAGGGGGGCGCGGAGCUGCCCGUUAGGGAGGCCCGAAAGCGUUCCUCACUCCGGGCCUCCCCAGCUGGUUGCUAGUCCUCCGCGUUGGUCUCUGCUUCUCCUGUGUCGUGUCUCCUAGGCCCAGAGGACCAGCAGGCAGACAGAAGGACCAGACCAGCGGACCUUCCUGAGAUGGACCAUGACGAUGAGACCAGGAAGGUCGUUUCUGAGGGCUGAGUGUGGACAGAAAGUGGCUGGUCCAACUGAAAUCCAAGCCCUCUGCAGUGGGGGGGUGACCCAGUGGUUGUGCCUGAAGGUGUUGUAACCCCAGCUGUGGCGCUAAGCAGCUAUGGAAGGACAAACCGAACAACAGGCAAGUCGUUCUUCCUGAAGCUGACACGCCCCACUGGUACCUCAGCCAGUACCAGUCGUGAGAGACCGUCUCUCAGAGCAGCGUGUGAUUAGACAUUAGAUCUCCCAGGGAGGCAGGGUUUCAUACAGCAGGACUGUAUUCACCUACUGCACAAGUGCUGUGACUCAGCGGAUACCGUGACGUCUUUCAAUCAAACAGCGGUGCCGCCUCCUAGGGUUUGAUAAUCCUGCUGAACCUGGUCACAGGUCAGUCCCACACCACUCAAAAGCAGGGAGGGAGAGUUUGCAGACAGGCGUCUCCUCCCCUCCUCCCCUAGCUGAGUUCGUUCGCGCGCUUUUCUCAGGUGAGCAUUGAGACACUGCGGAGACUCGCGCUCGUGCCUUGAGUAGAGCAGGUGGUUGUCUCUCUCUCUCUCUCUCUCCCGAUGACUCAUCCCUGCUAUCUGUAGGGGCCAACUGCGACUGGGAGUUUUCCAGAGACAGACGUCUGGGCCCACAGAGCCAUAAUGCAUUCCGGUGCCCAAGGGCUGCGACAAACGACUCGUGUCAGAAGGUCCGAGUAGUCCCUGCGAAUCCGGCGGUCCCUGUUCUCGUGUGACCGGGGCGGAGGCGCGAUCGCUUCGUUUGUUGUUUUGAUCAGUAGUACGUGGAUGAGCUGAAUGAAUAAUUCACAAGCGUGGGGGGCAGCGGGCUAAAAAUAAUAAGA